GUUAGUCUUGGGUGUUUCGGGUGACCAAGGUGUUAGUCUUGGGUGUUUCAGGUGACCAAGGUGUUAGUCUUGGGUGUUUCAGGUGACCAAGGUGUUAGUCUUGGGUGUUUCAGGUGACUAAGGUGUUAGUCUUGGGUGUUUCAGGUGACCAAGGUGUUAGUCUUGGGUGUUUCAGGUGACCAAGGUGUUAGUCUUGGGUGUUUCAGGUGACCAAGGUGUUAGUCUUGGGUGUUUCAGGUGACUAAGGUGUUAGUCUUGGGUGUUUCAGGUGACCAAGGUGUUAGUCUUGGGUGUUUCAGGUGACCAAGGUGUUAGUCUUGGGUGUUUCAGGUGACCAAGGUGUUAGUCUUGGGUGUUUCAGGUGACCAAGGUGUUAGUCUUGGGUGUUUCAGGUGACCAAGGUGUUAGUCUUGGGUGUUUCAGGUGACUAAGGUGUUAGUCUUGGGUGUUUCAGGUGACCAAGGUGUUAGUCUUGGGUGUUUCAGGUGACCAAGGUGUUAGUCUUGGGUGUUUCAGGUGACCAAGGUGUUAGUCUUGGGUGUUUCAGGUGACCAAGGUGUUAGUCUUGGGUGUUUCAGGUGACCAAGGUGUUAGUCUUGGGUGUUUCAGGUGACCAAGGUGUUAGUAUUGGGUGUUUCAGGUGACCAAGGUGUUAGUCUUGGGUGUUUCAGGUAUCUCUGGUGACCUCACUUACUGCUCUCCCAUAGACCCCUGAUUUGUUAUGAAGCUUUUGGUCCAGGAGAGAUUUUUGACUAUAAAAUAGAAGAAAGCCCAUAAAGCUCUUUAUAAGUUUAAAGUGUUUACACAAAACUCACUGAAGAGCCAGCCACAACCAUGUCAAAUGGAGCGUGAUACACACUGAGCCAACUGCACUGAUUUCCUUCACUUGUGAAAACUGAUAGCUGGUAUGUGUUCUGCAUUUUUAUUUUUUUAUCUGUGCAUUGUACCCACGAAGUCUGGGAAAUUUUUUUAACAAAAGUGUCAUGAAAAUCAUCACUUUGUAACUGUGAAAACCAUUAAUUA